AUUCUGGUGGCCAGCUACUGAACUUAACCCCACAUACAGAUGCCUUUUCAAUACUGAAACCAGGCUUACUAUGCAAGAUGUGGUAUAGCAAGCACUAAAGACAUUGAAUGCUGAAACAGUUAAGGGUGAUUUUCCUUGCUCUGAGCUGUGCUGGAAGUAUCCAAUGCUACUUGUGAUUUGACUGAAAAGCUGUAGGCCUGUUAAGAUCUACAGGAACAAAUGGUAAAACUGGCUGCAACACCGUGCCUACAGCAGAGAGCUGAGA